rnacentral:lncRNA from 1 species
AUGAGUGUCCCUGUGGAACAAAGCUUGGGGUUUUGCAAAAUCCAGUCUCCAAGUCAAAGGAGUUCCUCCCUGGGCCUCAAGGUUGCAGCAGUGCAUAUUAAUGGGGGUGGUGGGGAGAGCCGGACAAAGGGGCUUCUCUGUGUUCCGGUGCCCAGUCUCUUUUUUGGGGACAGAGAGGACUUUGUUUUCUUACACUGGAGAAGGAAGCUUGGGUACAAGGUCACACCUGAACUGAAAAUGGAAAAAAAAAGUCUUAAGGUUCCUGAGCAAAAGAGAAAAGGAGGUUUGACCAUGAGGCUUGGAGAAGGGAGAAGGGCUGGGGAGUACGGCAAGCAUCAUUUAUAUUGA